rnacentral:rRNA from 1 species
CCUACGGGUGGCAGCAGUGAGGAAUAUUGGUCAAUGGACGAGAGUCUGAACCAGCCAAGUAGCGUGAAGGAUGACUGCCCUAUGGGUUGUAAACUUCUUUUAUAUGGGAAUAAAAUGUUCCACGUGUGGGAUUUUGUAUGUACCAUAUGAAUAAGGAUCGGCUAACUCCGUGCCAGCAGCCGCGGUAAUACGGAGGAUCCGAGCGUUAUCCGGAUUUAUUGGGUUUAAAGGGAGCGUAGGUGGGUUGUUAAGUCAGUUGUGAAAGUUUGCGGCUCAACCGUAAAAUUGCAGUUGAAACUGGCAGUCUUGAGUACAGUUGAGGUGGGCGGAAUUCGUGGUGUAGCGGUGAAAUGCUUAGAUAUCACGAAGAACUCCGAUUGCGAAGGCAGUUCACUAGACUGCAACUGACACUGAGGCUCGAAAGUGUGGGUAUCAAACAGGAUUAGAUACCCUAGUAGUC